AAGCUUGCUUCUUUUGCUGACGAGCGGCGGACGGGUGAGUAAUGCCUGGGAAUAUACCCUGAUGUGGGGGAUAACUAUUGGAAACGAUAGCUAAUACCGCAUAAUCUCUUCGGAGCAAAGAGGGGGACCUUCGGGCCUCUCGCGUCAGGAUUAGCCCAGGUGGGAUUAGCUAGUUGGUGGGGUAAUGGCUCACCAAGGCGACGAUCCCUAGCUGGUCUGAGAGGAUGAUCAGCCACACUGGAACUGAGACACGGUCCAGACUCCUACGGGAGGCAGCAGUGGGGAAUAUUGCACAAUGGGGGAAACCCUGAUGCAGCCAUGCCGCGUGUAUGAAGAAGGCCUUCGGGUUGUAAAGUACUUUCAGUUGUGAGGAAGGCGUUGGAGUUAAUAGCUUUAGCGUUUGACGUUAGCAACAGAAGAAGCACCGGCUAACUCCGUGCCAGCAGCCGCGGUAAUACGGAGGGUGCGAGCGUUAAUCGGAAUUACUGGGCGUAAAGCGCAUGCAGGCGGUCUGUUAAGCAAGAUGUGAAAGCCCGGGGCUCAACCUCGGAACAGCAUUUUGAACUGGCAGACUAGAGUCUUGUAGAGGGGG
rnacentral:rRNA from 1 species